UACGUAGGGGGCUAGCGUUGUCCGGAAUCAUUGGGCGUAAAGCGCGUGUAGGCGGCCCGGUAAGUCCGCUGUGAAAGUCGGGGGCUCAACCCUCGGAUGCCGGUGGAUACUGUCGGGCUCGAGUACGGAAGAGGCGAGUGGAAUUCCUGGUGUAGCGGUGAAAUGCGCAGAUAUCAGGAGGAACACCAAUUGCGAAGGCAGCUCGCUGGGACGUUACUGACACUGAGACGCGAAAGCGUGGGGAGCAAACAGG
rnacentral:rRNA from 1 species